GUGCCAGCCGCCGCGGUAAUACCAGCACCCCGAGUGGUCGGGAUGAUUAUUGGGCCUAAAGCAUCCGUAGCCGGUAUAGUAAGUCCUCCGUUAAAUCCACCUGCUUAACAGGUGGGCUGCGGAGGAUACUGCUACACUAGGAGGCGGGAGAGGCGAGGGGUAUUCCACGGGUAGGGGUAAAAUCCUCUGAUCCGUGGAGGACCACCAGUGGCGAAGGCGUCUCGCCAGAACGCGCUCGACGGUGAGGGAUGAAAGCGGGGGGAGCAAACCGGAUUAGAUACCCGGGUAGUCCCAGCUGUAAACGAUGUAGGCUCGGUGAUGGACUGGCUCCGAGCCAGUCCAGUGCCGCAGGGAAGCCGUUAAGCCUACCGCCUGGGGAGUACGGCCGCAAGGCUGAAACUUAAAGGAAUUGACGGGG
rnacentral:rRNA from 1 species